rnacentral:rRNA from 1 species
AUUGAACGCUGGCAGCAUGCUUUACACAUGCAAGUCGAACGGUAACAGGUUAAGCUGACGAGUGGCGAACGGGUGAGUAAUGCAUCGGAACGUGCCCGAUCGUGGGGGAUAACGCAGCGAAAGCUGCGCUAAUACCGCAUACGAUCUGAGGAUGAAGGCGGGGGACCGUAAGGCCUCGCGCGAUCGGAGCGGCCGAUGUCAGAUUAGGUAGUUGGUGGGGUAAAGGCCCACCAAGCCGACGAUCUGUAGCUGGUCUGAGAGGACGACCAGCCACACUGGGACUGAGACACGGCCCAGACUCCUACGGGAGGCAGCAGUGGGGAAUUUUGGACAAUGGGCGAAAGCCUGAUCCAGCAAUGCCGCGUGCAGGAAGAAGGCCUUCGGGUUGUAAACUGCUUUUGUACGGAGCGAAAAGGUCCUUUCUAAUACAAGGGGCUCAUGACGGUACCGUAAGAAUAAGCACCGGCUAACUACGUGCCAGCCGCCGCGGUGA